GAACUAAAUUGGACGGUUGCGCCAUAUGUUGCCGAAAGGUAUUAUGGUGAGGAAAGUCCGUGCUUCGCAGGGCAGGAUAACUGAUAACGUCAGCCGAGGGUGACCUUAGGGAAAGUGCAACAGAAAACUACCGCCUCUUUGAGGUAAGGAUGAAAACGCGAGGUAAGAGCUCACGAUAUUCUAUGGUAACAUAGAGUAGGUGUAAACCCUAUCCGAAGCAACACCGUAUGAAGGGAUUUUUAUUUGCCCGAUAAGUCUUAUGCGUCCCUUUAGGUGGCACACAUUUUGUGGAGCUUUGUGGUGACAUAAAGCAAAGAUAGAUGACCGUCUUUAACAGAACACGGCUUACAGAUUUAGUUCUAAA
rnacentral:RNase_P_RNA from 1 species